rnacentral:lncRNA from 1 species
UCUGAGCAGCUCCGUGAGCUGCGUCUGGACGCCGACCUGGCUGUCUGGCUGCCCGCGCGGCCGGCCAAGCAGGGCGCCGUGGUCACCGCCUACGUCACGGUCUCCGGCAACUCCACCGUGGACGCCUUCGUGCUGAGAGCCAAGGUGAAGAAGGGGGUGAGCAUCCUCAGUGCACAGACCAGUGAGCCGCAGCAGUGGGAUGUGAAGCAGGAGGUGUGGAAUGGCGGGAAGCACGCCACAGCCACGGUGGCCUGCCAGCGCCUGGGCGCACACAACAGCAGCGGCAGCCUGUUCGGCGAGGUGGUGCAGAUGAACUUUGAGAUCGCCAGCUUCAGCAGCCUGUCGGGGACGCAGCCCAUCACGUGGCAGGUGGAGUACCCGAGGAGGGGCACCUCCAGCGCUGCCGUGUCUGAGGUCUUCGUCAGCCAGCAGGACCUGGUGGGCAUUGUGCCCCUCGCUGUGGACACCGAGAUCCUGAACACGGCCAUCCUCACGGGCAAGACAGUGGCCAUGCCGGUGAGGGUGGUGUCGGUGGAGGAGCAUGGAGCGGUGACAGACGUCUCGGAGCAGGUGGAAUGCGUGUCCACAGAUGAGGAUGUCAUCAAGGUCUCUGGCCACUGCGACUACAUCUUCGUCAACGGCAGGGAAGUGAAGGGAAAGACAGACGUGGCGGUGAACUUUGUGUUCCGGCACCUGAGCGCCCCGCUGCAGGUCACCGUGUGGGCACCGCGGCUGCCCCUGCACAUCGACGUCUCAGACACGGAGCUCAGCCAGAUCAAGGGCUGGCGCGUCCCUCUGGCAGCCAGCGGGAGGUGAGCGGGCGAGGCCCAGCUGCAGCAGAGCAGACCACCAGGGGGGCCGGGCCGGGCCAGUCCAAGCGGAUCCCUGAGUCAUCCCCAGGUCCCCUCGGGGUCCCCAUGUCCCCUUCAGGGUCCCCAUAUCCUCCCCAGAGUCCCCAUGUCC